ACGGAAGGCAGCAGUGGGGAAUAUUGGGCAAUGGGCGAAAGCCUGACCCAGCAACGCCGCGUGAAGGAUGACGGUCUUCGGAUUGUAAACUUCUUUAAUUGGGGAAGAACAAAAUGACCUACCCAAAGAAUAAGUCACGGCUAACUACGUGCCAGCAGCCGCGGUAAUACGUAGGUGACAAGCGUUAUCCGGAUUUACUGUGUGUAAAGGGCGUGUAGGCGGUUUUGCAAGUCAGAAGUGAAAUUCCCGGGCUCAACUUGGGCGCUGCUUCUGAAACUGCAGAACUUGAGUACUGGAGAGGAUAGUGGAAUUCCUAGUGUAGUGGUAAAAUGCGUAGAUAUUAGGAGGAACACCGGUGGCGAAGGCGGCUAUCUGGACAGUAACUGACGCUGAGGCGCGAAAGCGUGGGGAGCAAACAGGAUUAGAUACCCUGGUA
rnacentral:rRNA from 1 species